rnacentral:rRNA from 1 species
GACGAACGCUGGCGGCGCGCCUAACACAUGCAAGUCGAACGGAAAGGCCUGCUUUCCCUUGCGCUUUGCUGGUACUCGAGUGGCUAACGGAUGAGUAAAUCGUCUGUCUACUGGCCCCAACUUGGUUAUAAGCCCGGGAACCUAUGUCUAAUUCCCUAUUGGACUGCAGGGUGGUGUCGUGAGUGGCGGAUGUUUUUUUAGUGGUUGGGGGUGGGGCCGCGGCGUAUCUGCUUGUUGGUGGGGUAAUGUCCUACCACGGCGGGGCAGGGUAGCCGGCCUGGGAGGGUGGACGGUGACAGUGGGACUGCGAUACGGCCCAGACUCCGACGGGAGGCAGCAGUGGGGAAGAUUGCGCAAGGGGCGGAAGCCUGAUGCAGCGACGCCGCGUGGGAGAUGACGGCCUUCGGGUUGUAAACUCCUUUCGACCGCGAGGAAGCCACCUGGUUGGAAGGGUGGUGACGGUAGUGGUAGAAGAAGCACCGGCUAACUACGUG